rnacentral:rRNA from 1 species
AUUGAACGCUGGCGGCAGGCCUAACACAUGCAAGUCGAGCGGAGUGGCGGACGGGUGAGUAAUGCCUAGGAAUCUGCCCGGUAGUGUGGGAUAACGUCCGGAAAUGGGCGCUAAUACCGCAUACUAUGAGAUGAGUCUUGGUCGGAUUAGCCAGUUGGUGGGGUAAAGGCCUACCAAGGCGGCGAUCCGUACCUGGUCUGAGAGGAUGACCAGUCACACUGGAAGUAGAACAGGGUCCGAACUCCUACGGGAGGCAGAGGUGGGGAAUAUUGGACAUUGGGCGAAAGCCUGCUACAGCCAUGCCGCGUGUGUGUAGAAGGUCUUCGGAUUGUAAAGCACUUUAAGUUGGGAGGCGGUACCAGAAGAGUAAGCACCGGCUAACUACGUGCCAGCAGCCGCGGUAAUAC